GAUGAACGCUGGCGGCGUGCCUAAUACAUGCAAGUCGAGCGAACAGACGACGAGCUUGCCCCUCUGACGUUAACGGCGGACGGGUGAGUAACACGUGGAUAACCUACCUAUAAGACUGGGAUAACUUCGGGAAACAGGAGCUAAUACCGGAUAAUAUAUUGAACCGCAUGGUUCAAUAGUGAAAGACGGUUUUGCUGUCACUUAUAGAUGGAUCCGCGCCGCAUUAGCUAGUUGGUAAGGUAACGGCUUACCAAGGCAACGAUGCGUAGCCGACCUGAGAGGGUGAUCGGCCACACUGGAACUGAGACACGGUCCAGACUCCUACGGGAGGCAGCAGUAGGGAAUCUUCCGCAAUGGGCGAAAGCUUGACGGAGCAACGCCGCGUGAGUGAUGAAGGUCUUCGGAUCGUAAACCUCUGUUAUUAGGGAAGAACAAAUGUGUAAGUAACUAUGCACGUCUUGACGGUACCUGAUCAGAAAGCCACGGCUAACUACGUG
rnacentral:rRNA from 1 species